rnacentral:rRNA from 1 species
UGAGGAAUAUUGGACAAUGGAGGCAACUCUGAUCCAGCCAUGCCGCGUGAAGGACUAAGGCCCUAUGGGCUGUAAACUUCUUUAGACGCAGAGCAAUAAGGGCCACGUGUGGUCCGAUGAGAGUAUGCGUAGAAUAAGCAUCGGCUAACUCCGUGCCAGCAGCCGCGGUAAUACGGGGGAUGCGAGCGUUAUCCGGAUUCAUUGGGUUUAAAGGGUGCGUAGGUGGCCAUUUAAGUCAGCGGUGAAAGUUUGUGGCUCAACCAUAAAAUUGCCGUUGAAACUGGAGGGCUUGAGUAUGUUUGGGGCAGGCGGAAUGUGUGGUGUAGCGGUGAAAUGCAUAGAUAU